GUAGUAACUGCAGGCUUGGCAAAGUUAAAAGGAAUCCACCACGGCGAAUUGAUCAAGCAUGCUGCAUCGGAUUUGCCGUAGCUAAAACUAGAAAUGAGAAAAUUGAUUGUUAGACAAAAUAUCGGCAUCUUCGUUAUAUAGGACAUGCGCAAACGCAGACCGUGAUGCGUGUACUACUCUUGCUCUGUCUGUUUGUAAUAGUACAGGCGUAUGAUGACCGAGCGGGUACCGUGACCAGCGUAAGGCCUCCAAAUCCCAGAGCUGUACAAAAACUAUCAUUUUUCAAUUCUAUUGCUACCCUAGCUGAGAUCAUAGCUAAUGUUUUGGGCAUAGUUAUGGAUGGAAAGAAAAUAAAAGAAGAUGGCGUUGGGUAACGAGUCACGAAUAUUUGGGUACACACCAUAAACCAUUUUUUUUUAUAUGUAAUAAACUAUCGUAAUGUAAAUAAUGAUGGUAUGGA